UAAAGCAACAGUAUUUGAUUACAUUUUUAUUUUAAUUUCUGUGUACAUGUUAAGGUCAAAGAACAAUUUAUAGGUUUCAGCUCCCUUCCUCUUUUUAGGAUUCUUUUGUUUUGUUUUUGUUUUUUCAGGACAGGGUUUCAUUGUAUAGCCCUGGCUGUUUUGGAACUAGCUCUGUGGACCAGGCUGGCCUUGAACUCAAAAAUCCCCAUCUCUCCUUCCUAAGUAUUGGCCUUAAGGUGUAUGCCACCACUGGCCAGUCUUCUUUUCAGGAUUCUGUUAUUGUUCUUCCAUGUAACCUUUACUCUGGUCUCAAAAAUUAUCUUUCUUCAAAGUUUUUCACUUUUAUGUUGUUUUUACUUUAUUGUAGUUUACGUCAGCAUACACUUAUGUUAACAUACAAGUAAGCCUUGUGGCAUUUUCCCCACGGUCUUUAAGAGAGCCAAGUUUAUUAGAGAUCCGCUGUGAGACUGCUCGGUGUCUAGGGACUGAUGCAGCGUGCUGAGGGAGAGGCAGACAGAGCCAGGUCUGUACACAGGGUAGUUUACUGAUGGACUUAUGGAUAGAAGUGUGGGCCUAGGCAGGAGCGACACUGGUUGGAGCCCCAAAACGUGGGCCAGAAAGAGGACAUGUAUGAGGAUGGAGACUGACGUGACCUUAUUCUAGCCGGAGUGACUCCAGUUCUCUUAGGAGUCUGCCAGAGCUGUUGCUGCAUCCUUGUACCAGGCUGUACUGCUGCUCUCUGCAUGCCCUAACAGCUCUUGUCUAUUAUCACUUGUUAGAAAACUACUGUGGAUGGUGAUUCGUGGGUGUACCUUGGGAAACAACCACGGUAGUUACAGCUGGAGAUGGCUGCAGUCAUAACAAGGGUUGGUUUUGCCGUUUCAAGACAGGGUCACACUUUGUAGUCCAGAUUGUCCUAGACUUCACUAUGUAGACUAAGCUCUCCUUGAACUCAGAGAUCUGCCUGCCUCUGCCCACUGCCCUCAACCCAGUGCUUCGAUUAAUGAGUGUGCUACACCAUCAACUCCAAGACCAAUCUUUUUUUGGAGAGAUGAGAGAUAAAGAGAUAGAAAAAGAGAGCAGCGGGAAUGGUUUCUUUUUCCAAAGCCAAUCUUUGCACAGCAUUCCUUAUGACCCUUUCUGUCUCCUGUGCCUUCCUCUGCCGCAGUGCACCCUGGUCCUACUCGAGGCUACAGCACCGUGCUGGCAGUGUGCGGACCAUGCUGGCGGUGCUGGGAGGUUGUUUGUUCAACUUGUGAAGAAAAAUCCACAGCAACAGGAGUAAUGCUGUGUGAGAAGAGACAGGGCACAUGCAGACAAUAAUAGUCAGCCUUUCCUGCUGGAGUCACCAGGACAAAAUCCUAGCAUGCCUCCUACAGAAAGGACUCUUUGCACAGCUUGGGCGUGGAUGGCCUUUGGGACAGACCUUACAACCCCCAAGCACUCAUAAGGAUCAGAUGUGGCAUCAAGAGGUUGUUCUCCAGGGACUUCAGCCUAGCCAGCCAAGGUGAGCUUCAGGCUCUGAAUUAGUUAUUUUAAUAAGCGGUUCUUUCUCUCUCCACCAAGCCUGCUGCCUAAGGGUUCUGUGGCAGACCAAAGUGCCAUGAUGUGUUUGGGUGUCAUCCCUAACAGCAUGUCCUGGGAAGCCGACAGUCUGGGUACUGUCAUUCUUCAGCCCUUUGACGGUCUCCCUCAGCUGGAAGACUUGGUGAAGCCAGGAGGUGUUUGUUUUACUCUGCCAUCCACAAUAUCAGCCCUCCAUACACUGCCCAGUCAUCAGUGCGCUUGACUUGCCUCAUGUGCUAGUAAAGGUAUCAGCCAUCCCUCAGCCUCUCUGGUAUUCUGCUAUCAGAGCCAGACAUAUCUGUAGUAGGUUGUGCUACAGGGUAGACACUUUGCCUUCUCAAUGACCUAACUGCAUACCUCCCAUUUUCCAGAAUAAGUUAAACCCCAUCCCAGGUGGUGAGGCAGCUUCGUAAGUAACUGGGCCUCAUACUUUCCACUGCCUAGAAGUAGUGAGAGGUCUGCCCUCUGAUGGUUCUCUGGUAGGCCAGUUUGCACGGUGACCAAUGGGGACUCUGUGUGCUCUCCAGUUAUGUCCUAGGGCAUUGUACACGGAUCUAUCCAGUUUCAGCCCCCUCCAGAGAUUUGAGCAAGGUACCUCCUGUUUCUGCCAGAGAGCCCAGCUCAUGCCAUCUGUAACCUGGAAGAGGGGUGCCCAGAAUUUGCACCUCAACUAUCCUUGUGCAUGUCUGUCUGUUCUUUGCCAGUGGGAGGUACAGGAGCCUUGUAUUUCAUCUUUUGCUCUGCCUGGAAACAAAUGAGUCUUAUCUGAUCUUGCCACCCCUAGGAAACUCCUGGGUGGCCUGGGGCCUUGGAUUUUGUUGGAGUUGAUGACCCUUUGUGAGAGGAGAUAUACCUUCAUCCUACUGAGUUCUAAAAGAGACUAUAACCUUCUUCCUUUUCCACAUGGGACCAGAUCAUAUCAGCUUGAAAUGGGGCCCUAAGUCACUAUGCUGUGACAGGAAGAGACUGAACAGGUAUUCCCGAGAAAGAACCAAACAAAGGCAAAGUCACAGAGCCAAGGUAGGGUGUGCCUUUUUAUCUGAUCCCCAGGUAAUGUAGGUACCUCAGCAUAGGUGCUAGGCCUUACCUUAUUUAGUUCCCUAUAAUCCACAGCCAUUCUUUAAGUUUUGUAUGCCUUGUUGGAGGUACUGUGGGAAGGCAUUGAAGUCCCAGCCCGCUCUGCUUCCUUUGCUGUCUCUCUAAUCUUAACAUGUCAGUUCUGUUUUGUUCUACUAUGGAUCUAAAGGCAGAAGGAUGAACCAGGUCCCAAUUUGCUUCCCCUCUCAUUACCGUCUUGGCUCUUUGAACCUUGAUUCCAAAUUCCCCGCAGGAGUCCCCAUGCCUUUCCUAAUGGAAGAGCACCCGGGAGUGCCCUCCAGGGUCAGGAAGCCUCCCAGCAGUCAGUACCACACUAUUGAUUGCUCUGAUGGAGUUGCCCUGGUGGAGCAUUCUGGGUUGCCUUGGAGCCAUGUGCUUUCAGUGUCCACACAUCAGAGCAGAGUUCUUUUCUUUGUCUCUGAGAACUAACUAAACAGUCAGCUCCAUGUGAGGCUGAGGUCAUUCUACAGCCUUUGCUUUGAGGUAUCUGAGAACUAACUAAACAGUCAGCUCCAUGUGAGGCUGAGGUCAUUCUACAGCCUUUGCUUUGAGGUAUCUUCAGCCCUACCCCUAGUCCCAGGGAGUUGGUGGGUCCAUCUAGUUUUGCCAUUACUGUUGGAUUAUAGAACUUCCUUGUCUUCCUAGGAAAUGUUCUUCCUCGUGUUCAGGCUUAAGAUCUGCCUCAAAGCCUCACAAGACUCCAGCAUCCUGUGUGUGUGUGUGGGUGGGGUGGUGUGUGUGUGUGUCUUUUUCAUAGGAGAGCUGCCACUAAGCAAAUCAUGUCCUCUUAUGUUAUCCUAACCCACCUUCCAUUUCUUUUUUCUCUUUCUUUUCUUUUGUUGUGAAGAGUUUCUCUUUGUAGACUUGGCUGUGCUAGACUCACUUUGUAGGCCAGGCUGGCCUUGACCACCCUUCAUUUCUUAUCUCUCUUACUUCGAUUUGCCCUUUUUUCCUGGCAGACUAGACGACAAAUCACAUACUGCUGCGGCCAUCAUUCAUCUGUCCCAAGUUGGCAAUAGCCUGGCCUGUGUCAGAAACACCCCGCCAAAUGAGGAGGGCAACAAAGAGGACAAUAAUCUUCUCCAGGAGUGUUCCUGACAGCUUGUGUUUGUUUUUGUUUCUUUUGAGACAGGGUUGCUCUGUGUUGCCUCCACUGUCCUGGACUCACUUUGAAGACCAGGCUGGCCUUGAACUCAGAGAUCUGCCUGCCUCUGCCUCCCUGAGUGCUGGGAUUACUGGCAUGUGCCACUAUGCCCAGCUCCUCAGCUUGUUUUCUAUUCUGCCUGUAAAAAUGUCUUCAUUGAAGCUGGGCAUGGUGUCACACACCUUUAGUCCCAGCACUCAGGAGGCAGAGGCAGGGGGAUCUCUGUUUGAGUUGGAUCUGAGUUCGAGGCCAGCCUGGUCUACAAAAGUGAGUCCAGGACAGCCAUGGAUGUUACACAGAGAAACUUUGUCUAGGAAAAAAAAUACCUCUUCACUCGGUCCCUGAGAUGGAGGCAUAAGUAGUUUGCUGCUGCUCAGUCCUGCAGCCCCCUGGGCUUCCUCUGUGCUUUCCUCUUCUGUGUGCCCCUCCCCCCACCCCCAUUCAGGCACGCCUCUCUCAUGCUCACUGUGAUCCAGUUUGCAGGACAAUAAUUUCUUUGGUUGUGGUGGGCACCAUACAGGUGCUGUCUAAGGGCCAGAAGAGUUGGCAAUGCUAUUCAUUUCCUCAGCUGUAUUUUGAGAGAAAUGCCACAACCUCCAUGUUCCACCCAUCACUUUUCAGACUCAGUGUGGCAGCGUCUGCAGGGUCCAUGGACUCUACAGUGAUACAGUAUUAGGGAGUGGACAGCCCUCCAGCAUUGGCACAUGCUGUGCCCUGUUGCUGGACUCUUUACCCCUGUAAGGUCAAGGAAAAAGCAAAGCUCAUAGGCAAAGAGUCCCGGACCUCCACCAUCAGCCUCAGUUUCUCUCUCAGGCCUCUCUCCCAGGUGUGCUACCUUGUGUAUCCACACUCACUGCAAGACAGCCCCUUGGAACUAUUUCUUAGCCCACUCCUCGCCUCCAGCCCACCCAGCAGCAAGCUAGGGCCUUAAGUUUGAUCUCUUGUUUUCCCACUUUCUAAGUAAGGUUGGAGGCAGAGAUAGAAGUAGAGACGUGCUAUCUCUUUUGAGUCAUAGUUCUUCCAGUUUUGUUUGCAGCCAGCUGGACAUCAAGAUGGAACAGCUGUGUGACCCAGAGAUACAGCCUCACACUCCGGAGGGGGAGGGGAUGUUUAUUUAUUUUUUAAUGGGAGAAUUUGAUGAUAAACCGUGGUGUACAGACA